rnacentral:rRNA from 1 species
GGAUUAAUAUUUCCGUACCUUGGAUAGCUGCGAUGGAGAGACGGAGAAGGCUAGGUGAGCCGGGCGACGGUUGUCCCGGUUUAAGCAUGUAGGCAGUGGGAUUAGGCAAAUCCGGUCCCACAAUGCCGAGACGCGACGACGACUGCCCUUUUAGGGCGGGAAGUCAUUGAUGCCCUGCUUCCAGGAAAAUCUUCUAAGCUUCAGGCUAUUCGAGACCGUACCCCAAACCGACACAGGUGGUCAGGUAGAGAAUACCAA